CUUGGACCUCAGAUCAGGCGAGGCGACCCGCCGAANUUAAGCAUAUCAAUAAGCGGAGGAAAAGAAACUAAC
rnacentral:rRNA from 1 species